rnacentral:rRNA from 1 species
GCGUGCGGGAAGAAGGCCUUCGGGUUGUAAACCGCUUUUGUCAGGGAAGAAACGCUCCGGGCUAAUACCUCGGAGUAAUGACGGUACCUGAAGAAUAAGCACCGGCUAACUACGUGCCAGCAGCCGCGGUAAUACGUAGGGUGCAAGCGUUAAUCGGAAUUACUGGGCGUAAAGCGUGCGUAGGCGGUUGCGCAAGACAGGUGUGAAAUCCCAGGGCUCAACCUUGGAAUUGCACUUGUGACUGUGCGGCUGGAGUGCGGCAGAGGGGGAUGGAAUUCCGCGUGUAGCAGUGAAAUGCGU